GAUGAACGCUGGCGGUGUGCCUAAUACAUGCAAGUCGUACGCAUUCUCGUUUCUGAUUGACGGUGCUUGCACCUAAUUGACGAGACAUUGGAAUGAGUGGCGGACGGGUGAGUAACACGUGGGUAACCUGCCCAGAAGUGGGGGAUAACAUUUGGAAACAGAUGCUAAUACCGCAUAAAAGUCAAAACCACAUGGUUUUGAUUUAAAAGAUGGCCUUUGUGCUAUCACUUCUGGAUGGACCCGCGGCGUAUUAGCGAGUUGGUAAGGUAACGGCUUACCAAGGCAAUGAUACGUAGCCGAACUGAGAGGUUGAUCGGCCACAAUGGGACUGAGACACGGCCCAUACUCCUACGGGAGGCAGCAGUAGGGAAUCUUCCACAAUGGGCGCAAGCCUGAUGGAGCAACACCGCGUGAGUGAAGAAGGGUUUCGGCUCGUAAAACUCUGUUGUUAAAGAAGAACGUAUCUAAGAGUAACUGCUUAGGUAGUGACGGUAUUUAACCAGAAAGCCACGGCUAACUACGUGCCAGCCGCCGCGUAA
rnacentral:rRNA from 1 species